rnacentral:antisense_RNA from 1 species
CUUGAGCGAGCCGAGCCACAGCGGCCGGUCACGGUCGCGGCCGUAGGUCGCGAGCAGCGCCUGGGCCUC